AUCCUUUUGUAGUUCAUAAGCAUGAUGAUUGGGUAUUCACACUAUUACGUGAGAUGUGCCCCCCUCAACCUUUGUUACAGUAUCGGCACAUUACCCAUCCGACG